rnacentral:lncRNA from 12 species
UCUAGUGCUAUUGAAAUCUUUUUUAAAGAAAUUAACCAGAUGCAUGUGCUACUUUUUGUAAUAUUUUUGCAGGAUGUUACUUUUUAUAAUUUUUUUUGAAAAUGCCACACGAUAGAUGAAUUUGAACCAAUUCAUUUCCAGUCACUGCAGAAGGGCAGCUCUCUCACCAUUAGUCAGUCAGAUGGUCUCUUCCACUGGGUUGGACAAGAAAGAAACAGGUGGACAGUUGGCUUGUAUUGAUGCUCUUAAAGGGCUUAUUGAAGAUCGGCUAUUAAGGAACAAUAAAGUUAAGGGAAAAAUGGAAGACUUCCACCUUAUUGGGUCAGUCCUCCAGGGAUAACAAAUGAUGCUUUGGAAGGUAAACUUUCAGCUCCUAUAAGCCUUUGUAGCAGACUCCUAUUCUGUUUUGGAUUGCAAAAAUGUAAACUUACUUAUUAUAUAAACAUGUAAAGAAAAUUUCAGUAACAAAGCAUACCAAUGGUUGAACAACAACAUAUACAAAAUGCAUUGUUUUCAUGUUGUGGGAUAUGCACAUCUUAUUAUGCUAAGUUGAGCGUGAGUUCCCCUACAAGUGUCAACUCCUAUACAAGUUAAUAGGCUACGGAAAGCGCAUUGCUUAAUACAUAUUAAAAGCAAUCAGAAAGAUAUGUCAAAAUUGAAUACACACAGAAGAAUUAGUCAUGUAUUUAUAAAUAUCUUAGUGCCUAAUGUUGGUGGAAUGAAAAUCCCAUAAUAGAUUUCUGCUAAAGAAUGUCUAUAAUCGAGUUUAUUUUAUUUUUCAGUUAGUAGUCAAAUGACAGAAAAAAAAACAAAUACAGUUGAAGAAUUAUAGAAUAACAGCAAGUUAUUUGGCUUACACUCGUCAAAGGAAACUCUUUCUCUCUCUCUCUCUCACACACACACACACACACGCAUCGACAAGUCAGAAAUCUUUUUCACUAUGUGUGUACAGCAAGGGUUCUUAACCUGUCAUCCAAGAUUAUGGGUGGAAAUAAAAAUUAUAUUUUUGCCUCA